AUUGAACGCUGGCGGCAGGCCUAACACAUGCAAGUCGAGCGGCAGCGGGAAGUAGUUUACUACUUUGCCGGCGAGCGGCGGACGGGUGAGUAAUGUCUGGGAAACUGCCUGAUGGAGGGGGAUAACUACUGGAAACGGUAGCUAAUACCGCAUAACGUCUUCGGACCAAAGUGGGGGACCUUCGGGCCUCACGCCAUCGGAUGUGCCCAGAUGGGAUUAGCUAGUAGGUGGGGUAAUGGCUCACCUAGGCGACGAUCCCUAGCUGGUCUGAGAGGAUGACCAGCCACACUGGAACUGAGACACGGUCCAGACUCCUACGGGAGGCAGCAGUGGGGAAUAUUGCACAAUGGGCGCAAGCCUGAUGCAGCCAUGCCGCGUGUGUGAAGAAGGCCUUCGGGUCGUGAACUUCUUUUCCCGGAGAAGAAGCAAUGACGGUAUCUGGGGAAUAAGCAUCGGCUAACUCUGUGCCAGCCGCCGCCGUAACAC
rnacentral:rRNA from 1 species